UUAACUUAUUUAUAGUUGACUCAGAGAUAUUAAAAAAACAGAGUUUGUAUAGACCGUCGGCGGACUACAGGGUAACUACAGGGUAGGAACCUUAUAGGCCACCGAGGCAACAGAGGUAUGUUCACAUGGGUUUGGGAGUUUCACAACUCUAUAAUGAUCCCUCCGCUGGUUCACCAACGGAGA
rnacentral:misc_RNA from 1 species